rnacentral:rRNA from 1 species
CCUACGGGUGGCAGCAGUGAGGAAUAUUGGUCAAUGGGCGCGAGCCUGAACCAGCCAAGUCGCGUGAGGGAUGACGGUCCUACGGAUUGUAAACCUCUUUUGCCGGGGAGCAAGCGUGCGUUCGUGAACGCACGUCGAGAGUACCCGGAGAAAAAGCAUCGGCUAACUCCGUGCCAGCAGCCGCGGUAAUACGGAGGAUGCGAGCGUUAUCCGGAUUUACUGGGCGUAAAGCGCUCGUAGGCGGUAUGUCAAGUCAAGGGUGAAAUCCCCGCGCUCAACGUGGGCACUGCCUUUGAAACUGGCAAACUGGAGUGUGUGAGAGGAUAGUGGAAUUCCAGGUGUAGGAGUGAAAUCCGUAGAUAUCUGGAGGAACAUCAGUGGCGAAGGCGACUAUCUGGCACAUAACUGACGCUGAGGAGCGAAAGCGUGGGUAGCAAACAGGAUUAGAUACCCGAGUAGUC